UCUCCUACAUACAUUCGCUAUACACUCACCGAAGACAAUAUUACAAAAGACACCUCGCUAAGACAUCUCUUCCUAGACAUCUCUCCAAAGACAUCUCUCCUAGCCAUCUCUCCUAAAGACAUAUCUCCUAGACAACUCUCCCAAAACGCUCUUCCUAAAGAAACUCUCCUAGACAUAUCUCUGAAGCAUC
ensembl:lncRNA